AACGAACGCUGGCGGCGCGCCUAAUACAUGCAAGUCGAGCGAGAAGACGUAGCAAUACGUUUGUAAAGCGGCGAACGGGUGAGGAAUACAUGGGUAACCUACCCUCGAGUGGGGAAGUAACUAGCCGAAGGUUAGCUAAUACCGCGUACGCUCCUUGGACUUCGGUUCAGGGAGGAAAGCGAUACCGUGGGUAUCGCGCUCUUGGUUGGGCUCAUGUCCUAUCAGCUUGUUGGUGAGGAACGGCUCACCAAGGCUUCGACGGGUAGCUGGUCUGAGAGGACGAUCAGCCACACUGGCACUGCGACACGGGCCAGACUCCUACGGGAGGCAGCAGUAAGGAAUAUUGCGCAAUGGGCGAAAGCCUGACGCAGCGACGCCGCGUGGGGGGAGUGAA
rnacentral:rRNA from 1 species